rnacentral:rRNA from 1 species
GAUCCUGGCUCAGGAUGAACGCUGACAGAAUGCUUAACACAUGCAAGUCUACUUGAUCCUUCGGGUGAUGGUGGCGGACGGGUGAGUAACGCGUAAAGAACUUGCCCUGCAGUCUGGGACAACAUUUGGAAACGAAUGCUAAUACCGGAUAUUAUGUGAGUUUCGCAUGAAAUUCAUAUGAAAGCUAUAUGCGCUGCAGGAGGCUUGUCGUCCUAUUAGCUAG